rnacentral:rRNA from 1 species
AUUGAACGCUGGCGGCAGGCCUAACACAUGCAAGUCGAACGAAUGGCGGACGGGUGAGUAAUGUCUGGGAAACUGCCCGGUGGAGGGGGAUAACUACUGGAAACGGUAGCUAAUACCGCAUACCAUAGGAUGUGCCCAGAUGGGAUUAGCUGGUAGGUGGGGUAACGGCUCACCUAGGCGAGGAUCCCUAGCUGGUCUGAGAGGAUGACCAGCCAUAGCGGAACGGGUGCGCGGGUCAGAGUCCUACGGGAGGCAGCAGUGGGGUAGAUGGCGCCAUAGGCGCGAGUCUGAUUCAGCCAUGUCGAGUGUAUGAAGAAGUCCUGCGGGUUGUAAAGUACUUGCAGCGAGGAGGCGUUACUCGAAGAAGCAGCACCGGCUAAAUCCGUGCCAGCAGCCGCGGUUAUAC